UUGCGCACACACUUUACUAUUUGCGCAAAUGGCAAAAACGAAGCCCAACUCACACAUCAAUUUGUAAAAUGUCACAAAUGCCCUCGUUCCUAGUAUACGUUUGAUACACUUUAUGCACGUAUGAUACACCUAAUACAUCCUCUGAUACACUUGAUACAUUUGAUGCACAUGAUACUCUUUGAUACACUUGAUACUUUUUGACACACACCUGAAACAUUACUAAUAUAUGUUUGAUACACUUGAUACACUGCAGAUACAUUUAGUAUUUUUCACUUAUACAAUUGACUUAUUAAAUGCACUUGAUAUGCUUGAAGUCUUACUUAUACACUUGAUAUACUAUUGAUAUACACUUUUAAACUUAAUUCAUGUACUUGAUAAUGAUUCACUUUACUGAUAUGCUUUAACAAUAUAUUGUUGAUAUACUUGAUCAUGAUACAUUGAGUUACAUCAUUAAUAUACUUAAUAAUAAUCUAAUGAACUGCAUAAAACUUGAAAAAAAAUAAAAAUCGUUAGUACAUUAACUAACUAAUACAUAUAAUAUAAGUAUAUCACAACACUGAUAUACGAAACUGAGACAAAGUAAAACAAAAAAACUAAUGUAAAAAAAUAAAACAAAAUCAUUUGGCAUUAGAUUCAACUCAAAAUAUACCUUAAAGAAAGUAAAAAAAAAUCACAAAUGAAAUUAAAUUACUUCGAUCAACUAUUGAUAUUUUAAAAUUAAGAUUAAGACAGAAAAAACAAAUAACUUUUCUAGUAUAAGAAUAAAUAAAUAAUUAGGGCCUUAAAAAGUGGAAGAAUAAAUAAAUAAUGAGUAGGACAAAAAAAAGAAAGAAAUAAGUUAUUGAAAUGUAGUUUAUGAAUAAUAACAAAUUUAAGGUGGAAAAGUGAAAAUUUUUCCAUAUUUGCAAAAUUUUAAAACAAUGUGCUAUAAUUGUUGUAUCAUAUUCUCAAAAUGCUAUCUUAUGCAGUUUCCCUAAACUAUAAUAUGAACUACUUCACGAGUUUUUUAAUAAGAGUUAUGUGUUUAAUCUAUGGUGACUACCUAGCUACGAGUUUUUUUUAUACCCAAAUUUUAAGAAAACACUCGUAACCAAAUUGGAAAGAAAAUAGAGUUUUAAACAAAAAUGAUGUAUAUUAACCUUUAUAAUAAAGUGUUUAAAAAGAUUGGUAUUUAUGAAAAAUAUUAUUUUCAAUAGAGAGGUGAGAGGAGGGAGAAAUAUAAUUAAAGAAAAAGAUUGAUUUAAUAAAAGGGUCAAAUUGAAACCAUAUUAUAAAACUAUAAUUUGAUAUAAAUUUAUGAAAUUUGAAAGAUUAUGGGUAUCACUAUUACCAACUCCAUAGUUUAAGAAGAGUAGUUUUAAAAUCAUUGAGAUUGAAUCUUGACUUCUUCAAUAUUUCAUUUCAAAGAUAUGAAUUUUGUUUGAGUGAAUUAAUUCAAAUUUGUCAUCACUACCGCAAAUCAACAACUCAGAAUCUUUGUUCUCGUCUGAAGCAUAUUGUAAAAUUUUAGAAAAUUACAAAUAUAACAAAAUUACAAAUAUUUAUGACUCAUGUCACAAAUUGAUAAGAUCCAUGAAAUUUAUCAUUUUAGAAAUUUUUUGGAAAAUUAACAAAAAUAGGAUAAUUUUUAAGGGUUUAAAGAGUUUUAGGAUGGAUUUUAAAAAAGAUGACAUUUAGGACAAAUUAACUAGGAAAAGUCAAUAUUACCCUUUAGUUAUAAAAAAAACCUAAAAAACAAUUUAUGGAAUUCCUUCUCCUUCUUCCUCCAUUUUCUCACUUCCAAAAAGAAUAUUUCAUUUUUCUCUCAGCUCUCUCUAUCCGUAUUCCAUUUUUCCUCAUUUUCACGGAACCUUUGAUUUCAUUUUUCUUCAUUUCUCAUUUUUCAUUCACAAAACUACAAAAACAAUGGUAGUUCCAGUGAUUUCAUUGUGGAACAUGACUUGGGACUCGUGAUCUUGCUGCGAAAAUUGGAUUCCGACGAGGAGGGGUAACAAUUUGAUUUUGAAAAUAAUAGUAAAAGUUUUGAAAUGUGCAAGAUAGGUGCGAGAUGUGUACGACGAGAUAGGUACGAGAUGUGUACGAGAUAUGUGCAAGAUGUGUACGAGAUAGGUGCGAGAUAGGUGCAUUCAACCAUUCAAUGAAAAUGCACAACAACAAAGGCAAUCCGAUCAAAACAAUCCCUAAACAUAAAGUGCGUGGUUAUAAAAAAAAGACUGAGAAAGGAGAACCUUGCACGCCGCAUCUUCGACGGAAAAUCUUGCACGCCGCGUACAAACUGACCACCAAUGGAUGCCUGAACGGUUGGCAACGGUAAAUGAGAUGCGACAACGACUGAGAAAGGAGAAGAGUUGAAGUCGGGCUGCCCUUUGU
rnacentral:lncRNA from 1 species